GAUGGCAGAGAGGUCACACCCGUUCCCAUACCGAACACGGAAGUUAAGCUCUCUAGCGCCGAUGGUAGUUGGGACCUUGUCCCUGUGAGAGUAGGACGUCGCCAAG
rnacentral:rRNA from 1 species